UUCAACCCAGGGAGCCUCAGUAAGGCCGGGAGACUGCCUCCCCAGGAACACUGGCUCCCUAAGGCGGCAGAGGACUCUACUGAGGUCUGAAUGUGUCCCAAGGCAGUGGCGUGAGGAGCUGCAGAGGAGAGAGCAGCCUUGAGCACAUUUUGAACCUGAAGGCAUCUGUUUCUAUUGUCUGCACCCCAGCCCCCACAUUCUUGACGGAACUCAUAACCCGGUAAUAUCCUGCAGCAGGUCCUUUAUCACCUGGAGGAGUGCCCCAGACG